UACAGAAGAAGCACCGGCUAACUCCGUGCCAGCAGCCGCGGUAAUACGGAGGGUGCGAGCGUUAAUCGGAAUUACUGGGCGUAAAGCGCAUGCAGGCGGCCUGUUAAGUCAGAUGUGAAAGCCCGGGGCGUUAACCUCGGAAUUGCAUUUGAAACUGGCAGGCUAGAGUCUUGUAGAGGGGGGUAGGAAUUUCAGGUGUAGCGGUGAAAUGCGUAGAGAUCUGAAGGAAUACCAGUGGCGAAGGCGGCCCCCUGGACAAAGACUGACGCUCAGAUGCGAAAGCGUGGGGAGCAAACAGGAUUAGAUACCCCUGGUAG
rnacentral:rRNA from 1 species